rnacentral:tRNA from 1 species
GAGGGUAUAGCUCAGUCAGCAGAGCGGAUGCUUUACAUGCACCAGGUCGAAGGCGCGAUUCCUUCUGCCCUCACCA